AUGGCGAGACCAUCUUCCUCGGAAGGACGACACCCUAACCUGUCUGGCACUCUGGCUCCGACUUACAGAAAUCGCAAGACACGCUGGGUCGCGCUUUUGCAGGAACUGAACUUUAGAUCCCUCGCUGGUGCCACCGACAUUCCAAAGGAUGGACAAGCAAAUGCCAUAAGAAUUGUGGCUAGGGCCCUGGAAAUGCCUUCUCCUCGGCCAUCAAUUAGCUACCAACAUAGCGAGGCAGUGCUGGGAUAUCUGAUCACUUGUCUGGAGUCAGAAUUUAAAGUUGAAGCUGAUCCAGCACUCAUCAAGGUCAUCCUUGGUGGGGUUGCAUCAGUGGAUGGAUUAGAUAGAAUAAGAGCCUUCUCUUGCCAGACUGAUGUUGAAGCUGUGGUGACCCUCGAGCAUUUAUGCAAUGGUAUAGUGGAUGAGCUAUCUAAGCCAGUCGAUAGAAAUCCGGCCAUUUUAGUCCUGGAUACUGAUGUGCAGAUGCUUCCUAGGGAGAACUUGCCUGCUUUAAGGAAUCAAGAAAUAUACCGCAUGCCAUCAAUGAGAAACAUCUUUCUAGCAUUGACUAGAAGCACUAAUGAUCACAAAGAUGCCAGUGCCAUGGCCCAUCCUUUUCCUGUUAUUGACCAUUUCGAUGCAUUCUAUCUAUUGAAUACUGCCCUAGCCGCCACCGGCCCUUUCCCUCCUCCCCAUCUCCCUCGUCGCCUCCGGAGGGGGCCACCGGCUCAUCACGUAGCCGCUGGUGAAGGGGGCGGCAAGGAUCUAUCGGAGGGUUGGCCUCCGAGGCGGCAGCCUCGACGUUCCUCUCCGUGGGAUCUGGCGAUUAGCAUGGUGGGAGUUGGACUGGGAGCUCUGUCCAGGGGAAACCCUUGGUCGACAGCAGCGACCACGACAUCAGCGGUGUUGUGGGCGCCGGAUUCCCCCUUGGAGGCAAUGUUGACACAUCUCCCCCACUCCCUUCUUCCACGUCGCUUGGGUGAGAACUCCAAAUCCUUGGAAUUGGGCGACAGCGGCGCAACAACGUCGUUUCCACCUUGGUGGCGUCGUCUUGGGUGGUGGGUUGGAGCGUGUGGUGUAGAGAGCUCGAGUGGUUCCUGGAGGUGGCUCGUGGGACACUUGAUUGCAAAGGAGGUUAUGCUCUUCAAGGGGCACCUUUCUCUUAUUUAUCUGCUGGUUCUCCUUGCGUCAUUGCAAAUCUCUGGGACGUCUCAGAUAAAGAUAUCGAUCGAUAGUAAAGCAUUGCUCAAUUCAUGGUUGCAAGAUAAUUUUAAGAAUCGCCCUAAAUGUUUUGAGUCCAUGACCAUUGCUGCUGCAAAGGAUAAUGGUAGGAGGCAAAGACGAAAAGGCACACGUCGAGAUCAGAAGCAGCAACAGACAGCAGAGAUAGAUGGCAGUAGUAAUUGCUGCAAUUGCGGUCACAAGCGGAUAGCUUGGCAUAUAAGUGAAGCUAGGCGUGCUUGCAGGCUUGCGCUUAUGAUCCGCGCAUCUCUUGUUUGUUAUGGCGUGCCUAGUAUCAUCAGGAAGAAGUCUGCGCUUUAA
rnacentral:rRNA from 1 species